rnacentral:rRNA from 1 species
UUGGCGGACGGGUGAGUAACGCGUGGGGAACCUGCCCUGUACAGGGGGAUAACACUUAGAAAUAGGUGCUAAUACCGCAUAAGCGCACAGUAUCGCAUGAUACAGUGUGAAAAACUCCGGUGGUACAGGAUGGACCCGCGUCUGAUUAGCUGGUUGGCGGGGUAACGGCCCACCAAGGCGACGAUCAGUAGCCGGCCUGAGAGGGUGAACGGCCACAUUGGGACUGAGACACGGCCCAAACUCCUACGGAAGGCAGCAG